AUUGAACGCUGGCGGCAGGCCUCACACAUGCAAGUCGAGCGGAGCGGCGGACGGGUGAGUAAUGCCUAGGAAUCUGCAUGGUAGUGGGGGCUAACGUCCGGUAACGGGAGCUAAUACUGCAUACUAUCAGAUGAGCCUCGGUCGGAAUAGCUAGUGGGUGGGGUAAAGGCCUACCAAGGCGACGGUCCGUAACUGGUCUGAGAGGAGGAUCAGUCACACUGGAACGGAGACACGGUCCAGACUCCGACGGGAGGCAGCAGGGGGGAAUAUUGGACAAUGGGCGAAAGCCUGAUCCAGCCAUGCCGCGUGUAUGAAGAAGGUCUUCGGAUUGUAAAGCACUUUAAGUUGGGAGGCGUUACCAACAGAAUAAGCACCGGCUAACUUCGUGCCAGCAGCCGCGGUAAUAC
rnacentral:rRNA from 1 species